rnacentral:lncRNA from 1 species
UAUGUAGAAAUGAACUCUUGUCAGAGUUUCAAAAGAAUUUAAUAUUUUUACUAAAAUGUACUAAUGUUAGGAGUUAGAAGAUUAGCGAUACAUAAUGAAUAAAAUGCAUUCUUUCACAUGGAAAUAAGAAUAGAAUAAAUGUCCUGUAGGUGAUUGGGCCCAUAGCAAUUUUAUUGAAGAUUAAAGUUUGAUUGACCUUUGUUAAGGUGAUUAACCUUUCUGAAAUUAAAAGCUCGAUCUGAAUUAGUCUGUCUAAUUUAAAUGCAAA